rnacentral:rRNA from 1 species
GUCUUUUUGAGUAUAAUUUAAAGUCUGACCUGCCCUAUGAUUUAAUUAUUAAAUGGCUGCAGUAAUUUGACUGUACAAAGGUAGCAUAAUCAUUAGUUUUUUAAUUGGGAACUGGUAUGAAAGGUCGAACGAAAAAAAAACUGUCUCAAUUUAAUUUAAAUUAGAAUUUUAUUUUUAAGUUAAAAAGCUUAAAUGAUUUUAAAAGACGAGAAGACCCUAUAGAGUUUUAUAUUUAAAUAUUUAUAUAAGAAAUUAAAGAAUUAUUAUUUUUUAUAAAUAAUUAAGUAUUUAAUUGGGGCGAUUAAAAAAUUAAAAUAACUUUUUUUAUUAAUUAAACAUUGAUUUAUGAAUAGUUGAUCCAUAUUUAAUGAUUAUAAGAUUAAAUUACCUUAGGGAUAACAGCGUAAUUUUUUUUGA